rnacentral:rRNA from 2 species
UACGGAGGGGGUUAGCGUUGUUCGGAAUUACUGGGCGUAAAGCGCACGUAGGCGGAUCAGAAAGUUGGGGGUGAAAUCCCAGGGCUCAACCCUGGAACGGCCUCCAAAACUCCUGGUCUUGAGUUCGAGAGAGGUGAGUGGAAUUCCGAGUGUAGAGGUGAAAUUCGUAGAUAUUCGGAGGAACACCAGUGGCGAAGGCGGCUCACUGGCUCGAUACUGACGCUGAGGUGCGAAAGUGUGGGGAGCAAACAGG